GGAGCACGGCAUCCAGAGAUCGAGAGCCGAGACUCAGAUGCAGCCAGCAGAGAGGGGCCGGCCAGAGAGCCGCUGCUGCGCCCCGGGGGCGCUCCGGGGAGAGCCGCGGGAGCCGGGCUCGCGGCGCGCCAUGCACGCCUCGGGCCCUGCGCUGCUCCGGCCGCUCGCGCCGCUCCUUCCUUCUCGCCCGCUUGCCGCCGCCGCCGCCGCCGGAGCGCCCUCCGCAUCCCCUCCUCCCGCCGCCUCCCCGCCCCCCGCGCCGCUCGGGCCUCGGCUCACAGAGGCGCGCGGCCGCCUCCGCCCCCGACCCGGCCGCGGCCCCCGCCUCGGCGCCCCGCCGGCAUCCUCAGGCCCGGCCUCGUGAGCUGCCCUUUACUGUGGGGGCCCUGGCUCCCCUUCCUCACCUAAAAUUCUCUCUGCGUCCCCUCCCUCCCUGGCGCCUGGAGCCGCAUCCAGCCCGCGGUCCCUUCGCCCGACCUGGGUGGCAUGCGGUCCUCCCUCGCCCCUUGCUUGGGUUCCUGCGCCCCUAGUCCUAGCUCCCCUCUUUUGUAUCCCCCUUUAAUCCCCCAUCCCCCCAUUCAACCCAACUUCAGCCCCCGCGCUGCGCCCCCCUUCCCUGGCCCGGCUCGAUUGGCCGCUUCCUGAGCUGUCAGACUUGAGUCCGGCGCUCUUAUUGGGCGAUUCUCGGGCCGGGCGGCUGUGCCAAAGGAGGGCGCACCGGGCCGGGGGCGCCCAGGCAGCGACUGCCGCAGGGAGCCGAAGACCAGAGUCCCUGGAGGGCCAGAGGGGCCCAAGAGCCAGACCCGGAAAUGGACGGGAGAGAUGGAGAGACUGAGGAUCUCUGAGGCCCAGGAAGACAGUUACGGGAAAGAUGGAGAUGCAGUUGGUGAGGCCGAUGCAACCAGGGCUGGGCGGACAGGAAUGCUUUGGUGGAUAGUUACAGAGCAAGAACCCCGCAGACAGCAUUACGAACACCUGGCGUUUGUGAAGAGCUCUCUCUGCUCGUUCUCCUGCUGGAAGUUCCCGCAGCCUAAACUCUGGACAGAUGGGGAACAAUCACCUCUAAUCCCAGGAGGGAGAAACAAGCUUCACUUUCUUCCUUCAGCUCUCCCUGUGGAGGUUCUGACAAAGAGACUAGAGGCCUGGGUGAGCCUCCCAUCCUUUCUCUAUCAGUCAUCUCUUUGGAAAUUGGAAGAUAAACCUUCCCAGAGUCGCAAAUUGGGAGGAGAACCAUUCCAAGAGAUCUGA
rnacentral:lncRNA from 1 species